rnacentral:rRNA from 1 species
AUUGAACGCUGGCGGCAUGCCUUACACAUGCAAGUCGAACGGCAGCGGACCUUCGGGUGCCGGCGAGUGGCGAACGGGUGAGUAAUGCAUCGGAACGUACCUUUCAGUGGGGGAUAACGUAGCGAAAGUUACGCUAAUACCGCAUAUUCUGUGAGCAGGAAAGCAGGGGAUCGCAAGACCUUGCGCUGAUUGAGCGGCCGAUGUCAGAUUAGCUAGUUGGUGAGGUAAAGGCUCACCAAGGCGACGAUCUGUAGCGGGUCUGAGAGGAUGAUCCGCCACACUGGAACUGAGACACGGUCCAGACUCCUACGGGAGGCAGCAGUGGGGAAUUUUGGACAAUGGGGGCAACCCUGAUCCAGCCAUGCCGCGUGAGUGAAGAAGGCCUUCGGGUUGUAAAGCUCUUUCGGCCGGGAAGAAAUCGCACGGGCUAAUACCCUGUGUGGAUGACGGUACCGGAAUAAGAAGCACCGGCUAACUACGUGCCUGCAGCCGCGGUAAGAC